GGGUGCUAGUUAGACAUAUACUUUAUACUAACAGACUAUGAUAUUGAGUUUAUAUCAUUUUCAAUUGUCCACUCAUUAUUAUAGUAUCAUUCACAAUGAUAUCACAAUAAUCAUUCUUAUUGACAUCAUCAAUAAGAUGGGACAAUAGUGACAAUCACUUAAAAUGACAUCGUCAGGGUUGAAAACAAGCUUGACGAUUUCUAGUGUUAAGAC
rnacentral:lncRNA from 1 species